CGCGGAUCUAGAAUUGCGGAAAAGUAAUUUGGCAUAAAAGCAGCAUUUAAUUGAUCAAAUCUCCAACCCCCGCGCGACCAUCCUCCCAUUUAGUGUCAUUACAUUUAUAACAAAAACUAUUGUCUUAACUUAGAUCUUCUAAAAUUUAAAAUCCAUGCUGUUACAGACAAUUUCAUAAAUAUACUUCUUUCAGCCUACAAGAAUAACUCAUCAUUCAGCCGAGGUGUGGAAAAUAUAGCGGACCAUGGGACUAUUGGUCCUAGAACAUUUUUAUGCAUGUAGAAAGAAAAAAGGGAAGGAAGAAAAAGGGGGAAAGAAAGAAAAGAAAGAAAAAAGAAGGAAAGAAAAAGAAUAGAAAGAAAGAGAGUAACUGUACCAAUAAAUAGCCAUUUCCUUCAAGGACAGACACUAGGUGUAGGGGGUGCCCCCAAAAUAAUUUACGAAAGAACUUUGAAAGCGGAAUGUAGCCUCGUUUGCAGGCAACCUUGUUCUACCUCCUUUGGCCCUUCGUUGGCUUUGUAUCAUAUCAUUGCCCUGGUUCCAAAAUUUGCUAUCCAUAUCGUUCCCCUCCAUCCUUAAUUUCGAUUCCCAAUUUUUAUUUCUAUAGAAAGUAGUGACAGUAACAAAUGACUUUAUUAGCAUGACUUUACAUAAGAGUAUUAUUAGCAUGACUUUACAUAAAUUUUGAUAGGUUUAUCACGGUGUCAUUAUCAGUUGAUUUCAUUACCUCUGGUAAACCCUAACCUGAACCCAUCACCACUGAUCCCUUAAACACCCGUCAAGGAGCGAAUCUCUCCCAGAGGCUGGCAUCGAUCCUCCAUAUCCUCACCUUGUCGGUGGUUUGCACAUAGAGAUCCCCAUCAGAAUGACGCUUCUGACCAACGCCUCAACCACCUGCUAGAACGCCAAAUGUUCAACCCUCAUAGUUUCAUCAUAAACGUGAGCUACUCGAAGGUUAACGUCAAUGUAUACCUAUAUUACGCGCACAGAAAAUUUUUAGAACUGUACGGGCAAUACUAACAAUAAACGGUGUCAUGAACCACCACGUGCAAAGAGAGCUUACCAUAGCCAAAAAAAUGAGUGUAUGGUGAUAUGAAGUUAUUGAUUCAGAACGCAAGAGAGGAAAACCGCUGGUGGUCUCGUGCAGCACCACACAUUACCACAGCCAAAUCAACGACCUCCACCACCUGCAGCUGAUGUAGUCCAGGUCCUAGAUCUUCCACCACAGCAUGACCCUAGGAGGGCCCCAUCGUCCACCACCACAAGACUCUGACGACAUCCUGCUUGAACUAGUUUUCUUAACUCAAUUGAUUUAACCAUAGAUAUCUUAUAUACACUAGAUAGCGCAUCUCUUUUAAUUUAGUAAAAUUGAAGCCAAGAAUAUUCCAGCGGUUUCCCCCAUUUGAAUAAAUGACGGCCAUGUUGGUAGUUCCCACUUGCUAAUAAACGCUUAAAAAACAACAAUAACUUUCAUUAUUUAAAUAGUUUGAAAAUGUAUUUGGAGUACGUUUAACUUAAUGUUUAAGUUCUCUGUUUAAGAAAUAGAAAACAUACGAGUCUUCUCAUUUCAUGGGAAUAUCCUGAGUCUGCAAUCACGGCUUCAAUUUUUGAAUUGCUGAAUAAUUAGAUGCACUAUCUAGUGUAUAUAAUAUAUCUAUGG